rnacentral:rRNA from 1 species
CCUACGGGAGGCAGCAGUAAGGAAUAUUGCUCAAUGGCCGAAAGGCUGAAGCAGCAACGCCGUGUGAAGGAUGAAGGGUUUUUCCUGUAAACUUCUGUAAGAGGGGAAAAAUAAU